rnacentral:rRNA from 1 species
GACGAACGCUGGCGGCGUGCUUAACACAUGCAAGUCGGACGGUAAGGCCCUUCGGGGUACACGAGUGGCGAACGGGUGAGUAACACGUGGGUGAUCUGCCCUGCACUUCGGGAUAAGCCUGGGAAACUGGGUCUAAUACCGGAUAGGACCACUGCCUGCAUGGGUGGUGGUGGAAAGCUUUUGCGGUGUGGGAUGGGCCCGCGGCCUAUCAGCUUGUUGGUGGGGUGAUGGCCUACCAAGGCGACGACGGGUAGCCGGCCUGAGAGGGUGACCGGCCACACUGGGACUGGGAUACGGCCCAGACUCCUACGGGAGGCAGCAGUGGGGAAUAUUGCACAAUGGGCGCAAGCCUGAUGCAGCGACGCCGCGUGAGGGAUGACGGCCUUCGGGUUGUAAACCUCUUUCAGCACCGACGAAGCGCAAGUGACGGUAGGUGCAGAAGAAGGACCGGCCAACUACGUGCCAGCCGCCGCAGUAA